rnacentral:rRNA from 1 species
CGCAGCCGCGGUAAUUCCAGCUCCAAUAGCGUAUAUUAAAGUUGUUGCAGUUAAAAAGCUCGUAGUUGAAUUUCAGGCCUGGCUGGACGGUCCGCCCUUCGGGUGAGUACUGUCUGUGGUCGGGUCCUACCUUCUGGCGAAGCGUCAUGGCCUUAACCGGCCGUGGCGGGGAACCAGGACUUUUACUGUGAAAAAUUAGAGUGUUCAAAGCAGGCAAUCGCUUGGAUACAUUAGCAUGGAAUAAUGGAAUAGGACAAUGGUUCUAUUUGUUGGUUUCUAGGACCGUUGUAAUGAUUAAUAGGGAUAGUUGGGGGCAUUAGUAUUCAAUUGUCAGAGGUGAAAUUCUUGGAUUUAUUGAAGACUAACUACUGCGAAAGCAUUUGCCAAGGAUGUUUUCAUUAAUCAAGAACGAAAGUUAGGGGAUCGAAGACGAUCAGAUACCGUCGUAGUCUUAACCAUAAACUAUGCCGACUAGGAAUCGGGCGAUGUUGAAAAAUGACGCGCUCGGCACCUCAUGGGA